UACGUAGGGUGCGAGCGUUGUCCGGAAUUAUUGGGCGUAAAGGGCUCGUAGGCGGUCUGUUGCGUCUGGAGUGAAAACUCAGGGCUUAACCCUGAGCCUGCUUCCGAUACGGGCAGACUAGAGGUAUGCAGGGGAGAACGGAAUUCCUGGUGUAGCGGUGAAAUGCGCAGAUAUCAGGAGGAACACCGGUGGCGAAGGCGGUUCUCUGGGCAUUACCUGACGCUGAGGAGCGAAAGUGUGGGGAGCGAACAGG
rnacentral:rRNA from 1 species